GAGGUCAUACUGGAUUGGGGGGUGGGGUUAAAUCCAAUGACUGGUGUCCUUCCAAGAAUGCCAUGUAAAGGCAUGGAGGGACACGAAGAAGAGAACCAUGUGAACCUGGACAGAGCCUGGACUGGGCCGCUGCCAGCCAAGGAACACCAAGGACUGCCGGGAGCCCCCAAAAUCAGGGAGUGACAAGAGAGGAUCCUUCCCUGGAGCCUUCAGAAAAGACUCACCCUACAAGAAUAUGCAGUUCCCCCUCAGAGAGUCUUUUGGGUAUUGCAAAUGUUGCAAAAAAUUCAAGUCAUACAGGAGAGAAAAGUUCAGUAUCACCUCAAACCAUAGCAGAUGGCAACAGAAUACCUGCCCAGGGAACCUGGCUUCCAUUCCAGAGCAGCAGCAUCAUCAAGGUGUGAUGAAUCAUUGCCACCGUCUGUGUUACAAAGCGAUGACUUUCUGAGAUGAUAUUGCUGAUGAUUUUGGUGAUAAAUGAAGAAAAAUGAAUUUUCCUGGUGCUGCCCUCCAACUCUUGAGUCUCCAAGUUCUUAGGUUCUUGUAUUUUCUUCAUUCACUGUAAACUUGAAAUUGUGGGAUUGUUUCUUGAGAAGGUUUACCAGCUCUGGGGAAGAUUUGACAGAUACUUUCUGAAGGCCCAUGAAUAUCUUUUUGCUGUUGUUGCUGUGGGUAUAUAUAUUUUUGAAAUGUAGUUGAUAUACAAUAUUAUAUUGGCUUCAAGUAUACAACACAGUUAUUCAGUUAUAUGCAUUAUUCAGUUAUUGGCAUUAUUAAAUCCUCACCCCACCUAACGUAGUUACUUUUCAACAUAGAAAUACAUUAAAAAACUAAUGACUAUAUUCUCUACACUCUACUUUCAUCCCUGUGACUGAUUUAUAUUAUGACUGAGAUUUUGUAACUCUUUAUCCCCUUCACCUAUUUCACCCACCCACCCCAGCCCCUUCCCCAUGGUAACCAUCAGUUACUUCUCAUUGUCUGUGAGUCUAUUGCUGUUUGUUCAUUUUGUUUUAUUUUGUUUUUUAGAUUCCACAAAAAAGUGAAAUCAUAUGGUAUUUGCCUUUCUUUGCCUGACUUAUUUCACUUAGCAUAAUACCCUCUAGGUCUUUCUGUGUUGUCACAAAUGGCAGGAUUUCUUUCUUUUUUUUAAUGGAUGAAUAUUAUUAUUAUUAAUAUAUUAUAUUGUGUCAUAUUAAUAAUAUGUUAAUGAUAUUAUUCUAUUGUGUAUAUGUACCACAUCUUCUUUAUCCAUUCAUCUAUUGACAGACGCACUGUUGCUUUCACAUCUUAGCUAUUGUAAAUAAUGCAGUA